GUGGGGUAACGGCCUACCAAGACAAUGACGAGUAGCUGGUCUGAGAGGACGAUCAGCCACACUGGAACUGAGACACGGUCCAGACUCCUACGGGAGGCAGCAGCAGGGAAUCUUGCGCAAUGGGCGAAAGCCUGACGCAGCGACACCGCGUGGGGGAUGAAGGCCUUCGGGUUGUAAACCCCUUUCAGGAGGGAAGAAAUUGACGGUACCUCCACAAGAAGCACCGGCCAACUACGUGCCAGCAGCCGCGGUAAUACGUAGGGUGCAAGCGUUAUCCGGAAUCAUUGGGCAUAAAGAGCUCGUAGGCGGUUCAGCAAGUCGGCUGUGAAAGUCCGAGGCUCAACCUCGGAAUUGCAGUCGAUACUGCUGUGACUCGAGUCCGGUAGAGGAGAAUGGAAUUCCCGGUGUAGCGGUGAAAUGCGCAGAUAUCGGGAGGAACACCAGUAGCGAAGGCGGUUCUCUGGGCCGGCACUGACGCUGAGGAGCGAAAGCGUGGGGAGCAAACAGGAUUAGAUACCCUGGUAGUCCACGCCGUAAACGUUGGAUACUAGGUGUGGCGUCCCGAUCAACGGAUGCCGUGCCGAAGCUAACGCAUUAAGUA
rnacentral:rRNA from 1 species